CAGCCGCCGCGGUAAUACGGAGGGUGCAAGCGUUGUUCGGAAUUAUUGGGCGUAAAGCGCGUGUAGGCGGCUCGCUAAGUCUGAUGUGAAAGCCCUGGGCUUAACCUGGGAAGUGCAUUGGAAACUGGCGGACUUGAGUAUGGGAGAGGGAAGUGGAAUUCCGAGUGUAGGGGUGAAAUCCGUAGAUAUUCGGAGGAACACCAGUGGCGAAGGCGGCUUCCUGGACCAAUACUGACGCUGAGACGCGAAAGCGUGGGGAGCAAACAGGAUUAGAUACCCUGGUAGUCCACGCCGUAAACGAUGGGCACUAGGUGUCGCGGGUAUUGACCCCUGCGGUGCCGUAGCUAACGCAUUAAGUGCCCCGCCUGGGGAGUACGGCCGCAAGGCUAAAACUCAAAGGAAUUGACGGGG
rnacentral:rRNA from 1 species